ensembl:snRNA U6 U6 spliceosomal RNA
GAUGUUGCUGUGCUCACUUCAGCAGCACAUAUUGGAAUGAUACAGAGACGAUUAGCAUGGUCCCUGUGCAAGGAUAACACGAAAAUUUGUGAAGCAUUCUUUUUUUUU